rnacentral:rRNA from 1 species
GAUGAACGCUGGCGGCGUGCCUAAUACAUGCGAGUCGAGCGAACGGACGAGAAGCUUGCUUCUCUGAUGUUAGCGGCGGACGGGUGAGUAACACGUGGAUAACCUACCUAUAAGACUGGGAUAACUUCGGGAAACCGGAGCUAAUACCGGAUGAUAUUUUGAACCGCAUGGUUCAAAAGUGAAAGACGGUCUUGCUGUCACUUAUAGAUGGAUCCGCGCUGCAUUAGCUAGUUGGUAAGGUAACGGCUUACCAAGGCAACGAUGCAUAGCCGACCUGAGAGGGUGAUCGGCCACACUGGACCUGAGACACGGUCCAGACUCCUACGGGAGGCAGCAGUAGGAAAUCUUCCGCAAUGGGCGAAAGCCUGACGGAGCAACGCCGCGUGAGUGAUGAAGGUCUUCGGAUCGUAAAACUCUGUUAUUAGGGAAGAACAAAUGUGUAAGUAACUGUGCACAUCUGGACGGUACCUAAUCAGAAAGCCACGGCUAACUACGU